GUACCAGUCCUUAACUGACGCUAAAGCUCGAAAGUGCGGGUAUCGAACAGGAUUAGAUACCCUGGUAGUCCGCACGGUAAACGAUGGAUGCCCGCUGUUUGCGAUAUAUUGUAAGCGGCCAAGCGAAAGCGUUAAGCAUCCCACCUGGGGGAGUACGCCGGCAACGGUGAAACUCAAAGGAAUUGACGGGGGCCCGCACAAGCGGAGGAACAUGUGGUUUAAUUCGAUGAUACGCGAGGAACCUUACCCGGGCUUGAACUGCAGGAGAACGAUACAGAGAUGUUGAGGUCCUUCGGGACUCCUGUGGAGGUGCUGCAUGGUUGUCGUCAGCUCGUGCCGUGAGGUGUCGGCUUAAGUGCCAUAACGAGCGCAACCCCUUUCUUCGGUUGCCAUCAGGCUAUGCUGGGCACUCUGGAGACACUGCCACCGUAAGGUGUGAGGAAGGUGGGGAUGACGUCAAAUCAGCACGGCCUGAAGGUCGGGGGCUACACACGUGUUACAAUGGGUGAUACAGAGAGUUGGGAGCCGGCAACGUCGCUGUAAUCUUUAAAGUCAUCCUCAGUUCGGAUUGGCGUCUGCAACCCGCCCCAUGAAGCGGAU
rnacentral:rRNA from 1 species